rnacentral:rRNA from 1 species
CCUACGGGUGGCAGCAGUGGGGAAUAUUGGGCAAUGGGCGCAAGCCUGACCCAGCAACGCCGCGUGAAGGAAGAAGGCUUUCGGGUUGUAAACUUCUUUUGUCAGGGACGAAGCAAGUGACGGUACCUGACGAAUAAGCCACGGCUAACUACGUGCCAGCAGCCGCGGUAAUACGUAGGUGGCAAGCGUUAUCCGGAUUUACUGGGUGUAAAGGGCGUGUAGGCGGGACUGCAAGUCAGAUGUGAAAACCACGGGCUCAACCUGUGGCCUGCAUUUGAAACUGUAGUUCUUGAGUACUGGAGAGGCAGACGGAAUUCCUAGUGUAGCGGUGAAAUGCGUAGAUAUUAGGAGGAACUCCGAUUGCGAAGGCAGCUCACUGGACUGCAACUGACACUGAUGCUCGAAAGUGUGGGUAUCAAACAGGAUUAGAUACCCGUGUAGUC